ACUUUAGCUUGCUAAAGUUGGAAGAGUUGCGAACGGGUGAGUAACGCGUAGGUAACCUGCCUACUAGCGGGGGAUAACUAUUGGAAACGAUAGCUAAUACCGCAUAACAGCAUUUAACCCAUGUUAGAUGCUUGAAAGGAGCAAUUGCUUCACUAGUAGAUGGACCUGCGUUGUAUUAGCUAGUUGGUGAGGUAACGGCUCACCAAGGCGACGAUACAUAGCCGACCUGAGAGGGUGAUCGGCCACACUGGGACUGAGACACGGCCCAGACUCCUACGGGAGGCAGCAGUAGGGAAUCUUCGGCAAUGGGGGCAACCCUGACCGAGCAACGCCGCGUGAGUGAAGAAGGUUUUCGGAUCGUAAAGCUCUGUUGUAAGAGAAGAACGUGUGUGAGAGUGGAAAGUUCACACAGUGACGGUAACUUACCAGAAAGGGACGGCUAACUACGUGCCAGCAGCCGCGGUAAUACGUAGGUCCCGAGCGUUGUCCGGAUUUAUUGGGCGUAAAGCGAGCGCAGGCGGUUUAAUAAGUCUGAAGUUAAAGGCAGUGGCUUAACCAUUGUUCGCUUUGGAAACUGUUAGACUUGAGUGCAGAAGGGGAGAGUGGAAUUCCAUGUGUAGCGGUGAAAUGCGUAGAUAUAUGGAGGAACACCGGUGGCGAAAGCGGCUCUCUGGUCUGUAACUGACGCUGAGGCUCGAAAGCGUGGGGAGCAAACAGGAUUAGAUACCCUGGUAGUCCACGCCGUAAACGAUGAGUGCUAGGUGUUAGGCCCUUUCCGGGGCUUAGUGCCGCAGCUAACGCAUUAGCACUCCGCCUGGGGAGUACGACCGCAAGGUUGAAACUCAAAGGAAUUGACGGGGGCCCGCACAGCGGUGGAGCAUGUGGUUUAAUUC
rnacentral:rRNA from 1 species